rnacentral:rRNA from 1 species
UACGAAGGGGCUAGCGUUGCUCGGAAUUACUGGGCGUAAAGGGCGCGUAGGCGGAUGUCUAAGUCGGGGGUGAAAGCCCGGGGACUCAACCUCGGGAAUUGCCUUCGAUACUGGACAUCUUGAGUACGGGAGAGGUGAGUGGAACUCCGAGUGUAGAGGUGAAAUUCGUAGAUAUUCGGAAGAACACCAGUGGCGAAGGCGACUCACUGGCCCGUUACUGACGCUGAGGCGCGAAAGCGUGGGGAGCAAACAGG